AUCCUCUCGGGAUCACACCUGGAGAGUUUCCAGUACUCUAUCAAUCUCAGCUAUGGGAGGGAAAGUCAAGCAGAGGCCUACCCAUUCUAUUCCUAGCUUGGGCAGUGGCUAGCGAGUGGAAGGCAAUCCGCUACAAGU